rnacentral:rRNA from 1 species
UGGGGAAUGUUGCACAAUGGGCGCACGCCUGAUGCAGCCAUGCCGCGUGUGUGAAGAAGGCCUUCGGGUUGUAAAGCACUUUCAGCGGGGAGGAAGGCGGUGAGGUUAAUAACCUCACCGAUUGACGUUACCCGCAGAAGAAGCACCGGCUAACUCCGUGCCAGCAGCCGCGGUAAUACGGAGGGUGCAAGCGUUAAUCGGAAUUACUGGGCGUAAAGCGCACGCAGGCGGUCUGUCAAGUCGGAUGUGAAAUCCCCGGGCUCAACCUGGGAACUGCAUUCGAAACUGGCAGGCUAGAGUCUUGUAGAGGGGGGGAGAAUUCCAGGUGUAGCGGUGAAAUGCGUAGAGAUCUGGAGGAAUACCGGUGGCGAAGGCGGCCCCCUGGACAAAGACUGACGCUCAGGUGCGAAAGCGUGGGGAGCAAACAGG